rnacentral:lncRNA from 1 species
CAAGGUCUCAAACACCCCUCCCCUGUUUCUGGCAGGAGCCGUCCUCACUCCCUCUAUUGCCUCUCCAGACCCAGACUUCACCCUCAGGUCACCCUCACCUGGACUUUGGGGUGCCCCACACCCCGCCCCAGGCCCUGGCCUCUGGAAUAUUUGGAAACUUGAACUGGGCCAGAGGCUUAAGCUCACAUCUGUCUGGAGCCUCAACUUUCUCCUCUGUAAAAUGGGCUAACACUGAAAGAACCUUGCAGAAUCUCAGCAACGUCACAGAGGACAUUGUUAGCACAGCCAGCGGGCUCCUGCUGGGCUGAGUUUGUGGGUAAUCCAAGCCUCGGCAGGUACAGUUCCUCCCUCAGCAGGGCCCAGGACACAGUGAGCAUACAAUAGACAUUAGCUGCUGUGGUGUCUUGAUUUCAAGCCCAGUGCAGAUGCAUCUGACUUACGAAACUUCAGUGACACCUGCUCUGUGCCAGACACUGAAGAUGGAGCAGUGAACAGCACUGACCCAGCCUGUCCUCCUGUUGCCUGCAGGCCAGAAGCAAGGUCUCGCUGUGUUACCCUGGCUGGAGUGCAGUGGCUACUUACAGGCAUGAUCAUAGCAUACUGCAGCCUCGAACUCCUGGACUAGAGCAGUUCUCCUGCCUCAGCCUCCAGAGCAGCUGGGACUGCAGACACGCACCACAGAGCCCAGCCUGAGUCAUUUUGAUUCUGUAACUGGCUUCCUCUCGGCGGGCAGGCUCACACCCUCCACCCCCAGCUGGAGAUGGAAGGAGGAUGCUCACCGCCCAUUCCUCAUGCAGGCCAUCGAUGGAAAUGUCAGACAGUGCGAGUCCACGCCUGAACACUUCUGGGGUCCGCUCUGGGACUGACACUGGCAGAUCCAUCGGUGAGCUCCCGCCUGCCACCUCUGGGCCUGCAUUGCGGUGAUAGGGCCAAGGGCCUGGGCCUUCAAUUCUCCAGACUUGCCAAAAUGCUCAGCGCAGGCCUCGUCGGCAACUGCAGACAAGCAGAGGCAGCACCUGGGCUCUGCCUGUGCCUGGCACAGUGAAGCGAGGGUGGGGGCAGGAAUGAGGGUCCUCUCCAUGCAAGGGGGGAAGAUAGAAGAACAAAAUUUCACCCUAAUGUAGUGUCUUUAGACCGUGCAAUGUUGUGCUCCUGUUAGUCUGAUAUCAGGGGCUUGCAGCCUGGCAAAGGAAAAAAAACAGGCUGAGGCACAUGAUAGAAGACAGGCAGGGAUGCCACAAUCAUAACCAUGGCAAAGACCAGGAUCAGAAAGGCCCACCAUCUCUGACCCCAAAUCCCUGGGCAGAUGGUUCCAGAACUCAGAAUUUUCCCAGUUGUAGAAAGAUGGGGCCAGGUGCAGUGGCUCACGCCUGUAAUCCCAGCAUUUUGGGAGUACAAGGUGGGCGGAUCACCUGAGGUCAGGAGUUCGAGACCAGCCUGGCCAACAUGGUGAAACCCUGUCUCUACUAAAAAAAAAAAAAAAAAUUAGCCGGGCGUGGCGAUGCAUGCCUGUAAUCCCAGCUACUCGGGAGGCUGAGCCAGGAGAAUUGCUUGAACCCGGGAGGCGGAGGUUGCAGUGAGCCAAGAUCGCGCCACUACACUCCAGUCCGGGCGACAGAGCAAGAGUCCAUUCCCCCACCACCAAAAAAAAAAAAAAAAGAAAGAAA